rnacentral:lncRNA from 1 species
GGGUGAUGGGGCGGUGACGUCACGCAGCGGCUCCCGAGCGCCCCGCCCCUUGGGGAGCUGGGUGUGGGGCAGAGCUGUGCUGCAGGCGGGAGCUCUUCGAGCUGGUGUUUUCUGAGUAUCAUUAACAGCAACACGUGCAGUAAAUCCUGUACCUCUGGGCUCAUCUGGGAGCUGUCGCCUUUCAGAUCUCUCUGGCUUCCAUGGACAGGAUAGGUGCACCCUGCUGAAUUUAGCAGUCCUGUCGGGGGCAGCCGGAUACUCCCCCAGAAUUGCUGACUAGAGACUGAGACUGUUUAAAGAGACGGAUUCUGUGAAAGAUUGAAAAAGGUAAUUGAUACAUAGACCUAGUAACUUUGUGCGCAGACUAAGGUAAGAGAACUUAAUUUUUGCCUUGGGGGUCAGGUGAGACUCUUGAGCGUGUGCGACUGAGACACAGUUUUAGUGAGAAGUGAGCGUGGAGUCCCAGUCUGUGGUUCCA